rnacentral:siRNA from 1 species
UUUAGCUUAUAUAUACGACGUG